GACGAACGCUGUCGGCGUGCUUAACACAUGCAAGUCGAACGGAAAGGCCCUGCUUUUGUGGGGUGCUCGAGUGGCGAACGGGUGAGUAACACGUGAGUAACCUGCCCUUGACUUUGGGAUAACUUCAGGAAACUGGGGCUAAUACCGGAUAGGAGCUCCUGCUGCAUGGUGGGGGUUAGAAAGUUUCGGCGGUUGGGGAUGGACUCGCGGCUUAUCAGCUUGUUGGUGGGGUAGUGGCUUACCAAGGCUUUGACGGGUAGCCGGCCUGAGAGGGUGACCGGCCACAUUGGGACUGAGAUACGGCCCAGACUCCUACGGGAGGCAGCAGUGGGGAAUAUUGCACAAUGGGCGGAAGCCUGAUGCAGCAACGCCGCGUGCGGGAUGACGGCCUUCGGGUUGUAAACCGCUUUCGCCUGUGACGAAGCGUGAGUGACGGUAAUGGGUAAAGAAGCACCGGCUAACUACGUGCCAGCAGCCGCGGUGAUACGUAGGGUGCGAGCGUUGUCCGGAUUUAUUGGGCGUAAAGGGCUCGUAGGUGGUUGAUCGCGUCGGAAGUGUAAUCUUGGGGCUUAACCCUGAGCGUGCUUUCGAUACGGGUUGACUUGAGGAAGGUAGGGGAGAAUGGAAUUCCUGGUGGAGCGGUGGAAUGCGCAGAUAUCAGGAGGAACACCAGUGGCGAAGGCGGUUCUCUGGGCCUUUCCUGACGCUGAGGAGCGAAAGCGUGGGGAGCGAACAGGCUUAGAUACCCUGGUAGUCCACGCUGUAAACGGUGGGUACUAGGUGUGGGGUCCAUUCCACGGGUUCCGUGCCGUAGCUAACGCUUUAAGUACCCCGCCUGGGGAGUACGGCCGCAAGGCUAAAACUCAAAGGAAUUGACGGGGCCCCGCACAAGCGGCGGAGCAUGCGGAUUAAUUCGAUGCAACGCGUAGAACCUUACCUGGGUUUGACAUGGAUCGGGAGUGCUCAGAGAUGGGUGUGCCUCUUUUGGGGUCGGUUCACAGGUGGUGCAUGGCUGUCGUCAGCUCGUGUCGUGAGAUGUUGGGUUAAGUCCCGCAACGAGCGCAACCCUUGUUCACUGUUGCCAGCACGUUAUGGUGGGGACUCAGUGGAGACCGCCGGGGUCAACUCGGAGGAAGGUGGGGAUGACGUCAAGUCAUCAUGCCCCUUAUGUCCAGGGCUUCACGCAUGCUACAAUGGCUGGUACAGAGAGUGGCGAGCCUGUGAGGGUGAGCGAAUCUCGGAAAGCCGGUCUCAGUUCGGAUUGGGGUCUGCAACUCGACCUCAUGAAGUCGGAGUCGCUAGUAAUCGCAGAUCAGCAACGCUGCGGUGAAUACGUCCCCGGGGCU
rnacentral:rRNA from 1 species